AUUUAAAUAUACUCAAAUAAAAUAAAUAUAUUACAAAUUCAUCAUAACACAACCAUUAAUCAAUUAUCUAUCCAACAUAAAAUUUUAAACAAAUGAAAUGUUCCAAAAGUUCAUUAAACUACAUUAAUUGAACAUAAAAUAUAUUCAAUUGGCCAUUUCAAUCUCCAAUAUCAAAUUGUGCUUGAAAAGUUUCAAAAAAACAAAUAUAGAAAAAUUAGAAUAUCACAGUUGCAAAAUAAUACACGUUAUCAUAAAAAAUAAUAGAAUAAAAAAAAUAAAAAUCAAACUUACAUAUUAAAAUUGUGAAAUGCAUAAUUUAAUUCACAUCAUUCUCAGCAUCC
rnacentral:lncRNA from 1 species